ensembl:lncRNA
CUGGCAGCUCUGACUGACGGGCGGCUCUGGCAGCUCCUGAUGACGGGCGGCUCUGGCAGCUCCUGACUGACGGGAGAACCUGGAGGGAGGAGACUAUAGAGACUAUAGCGCACGGGCUACUGGCGACACCGUGCUCUUGACCGCAUAACACGGUGACUGACCAGUACUGCGCUUCUUCCGGUAAGCACGGGGAGUUGGCUCAGGUCUAUCGCCUGACUCGACUCCACCAAUCUCCCCGUGUUCCACCCCCCCAAAAAAUUGGGGCUGCCUCUCGUGCCUGUUGCACUGCCUUACCUCAUGACGCCGCCGCUCAGCUUUCGCUGCCUCCAGUUCUUUAACAGUCAGUCCUGUUACAGUCCGUCAGUCCUGUUACUGUCAGUAGUCCCUGUUUCUGUAGCCUGACGGUGACCGCCGCUGUUAUCCCCUCUCGACAAUUUGUCGCAUCACGCCCUCGACGCCGUGGCUCCUUUUACUCAGUAGUCUGUUACCGUCAGUCAGUCCUGUUACUGUCAGUCAGUCCUGUUACAGUCAGUCAGUCCUGUUACAGUCAGUCAAUCCUGUUACAGUCAGUCAGUCCUGUUACAGUCAGUCAGUCCUGUUACUGUCAGUCAGUCCUGUUACUGUCAGUCAGUCCUGUUACUGUCAGUCAGUCCUGUUACACUGCAUGACAAACACACGCAUCAGUCAGCCAGCUGCAUGGUGACUCACUGCACAGAGACUAACUCACCAACAGAAGUAGUGUCCUAUGUUUGACCUAAAGUAGUACCCUGUUUGACCUAAUGUAGUGUACUGUUUGACCUAAAGUAGUGCCCUGUUUGACUUAAAGUAGUGUACUGUUUGACCUAAUGUAGUGCCCUGUUUGACCUAAAGUAGUGUACUGUGAGAUGACCAGGGAUGUUCUCUGUUUAAUGAGUCCGCCAGCUCAGAGGCGGUAGAGAUGACCAGGGAUGUUCUCUGUUUAAUGAGUCCGCCAGCUCAGAGGCGGAAGAGAUGACCAGGGAUGUUCUCUGUUUAAUGAGUCCGCCAGCUCAGAGGCGGUAGAGAUGACCAGGGAUGUUCUCUUGAACAGGACUACUUUCCUUUUCAAAAUGUAACGAGUUCAUUUGGGUGUCAAAGAAAAUGUAUGGAGUAAAAGUGCAGUAUUUUCAUGAGGAAUGUAGUGAAGUUCAAAUAAAAAAGUAGUCAACAAAUAUAAAUAGUAAAGUACAGUACAGAUACCCUAAAAAAGACGAAGUAGUCAUUUAAAGUAUUUUUACGUAUUUUUACGGAAGUAAAACGACGACACCAACGACAAGAAGGUCUGCAGUUUAUGUGAAUGUUUGAGCCAAACUACAGACUAUACAUACUACUCUACCACCACUCAACCUUUAUGGAGGUUGAUUCAUGAACACAAAUCACAUGCAAGGAAAACACGUUCAGCUGUUAAAUUCUAGUACUUUAGAUCAUUCUAGGGCUUCUACUAUGGAAAAUCCCUACUGCAGUAUUAACCCUGUUCACAGUAGGACUAUAUGGUUCAUACGCGCUGUUUAUUGCGGCCUUGUCACAUGAUAUGACUGACAUUAUAUUAUGAUUAGGGGUUAUAUCAUCACUGAAAUGUAACCUAGGCUAGUGUGCCGAGUUUAUCAGAAGAGCCAGAACUGUCGAAAUAAAAAGUUAAUCAUUGUCCGGGUCACUUGUUUUGAUGAAUCAAACAGUAUUUGCAUUUGCGUCACAUGUUUUGUUAUUGACAUAUCAUAACAAUACGUAACCAUUCACCUGUUGGAGUGAUGUUUUUACAGCGGAUGGCGGAACCAACCAUGGUUAU